CAUGCAAGUCGAACGGCAGCACGGGAGCAAUCCUGGUGGCGAGUGGCGAACGGGUGAGUAAUACAUCGGAACGUGCCCAAUCGUGGGGGAUAACGCAGCGAAAGCUGUGCUAAUACCGCAUAAGAUCUAAGGAUGAAAGCAGGGGACCGCAAGGCCUUGCGCGAAUGGAGCGGCCGAUGGCAGAUUAGGCAGUUGGUGAGGUAAAGGCUCACCAAGCCUUCGAUCUGUAGCUGGUCUGAGAGGACGACCAGCCACACUGGGACUGAGACACGGCCCAGACUCCUACGGGAGGCAGCAGUGGGGAAUUUUGGACAAUGGGCGCAAGCCUGAUCCAGCCAUGCCGCGUGCAGGAUGAAGGCCUUCGGGUUGUAAACUGCUUUUGUACGGAACGAAAAGGUUCUUUCUAAUAAAGAGAGCUCAUGACGGUACCGUAAGAAUAAGCACCGGCUAACUACGUGCCAGCAGCCGCGGUAAUACGUAGGGUGCAAGCGUUAAUCGGAAUUACUGGGCGUAAAGCGUGCGCAGGCGGUGAUGUAAGACAGUUGUGAAAUCCCCGGGCUCAACCUGGGAACUGCAUCUGUGACUGCAUCGCUGGAGUACGGUAGAGGGGGAUGGAAUUCCGCGUGUAGCAGUGAAAUGCGUAGAUAUGCGGAGGAACACCGAUGGCGAANGCAAUCCCCUGGNCCUGUACUGACGCUCA
rnacentral:rRNA from 1 species